rnacentral:rRNA from 1 species
UACGGGGGGAGCAAGCGUUGUUCGGAUUUACUGGGCGUAAAGGGCGCGUAGGCGGCGCAACAAGUCACUUGUGAAAUCUCCGGGCUUAACUCGGAAAGGUCAAGUGAUACUGUUGUGCUAGAGUGCGGAAGGGGCAACUGGAAUUCUCGGUGUAGCGGUGAAAUGCGUAGAUAUCGAGAGGAACACCUGCGGCGAAGGCGGGUUGCUGGGCCGACACUGACGCUGAGGGACGAAAGCUAGGGGAGCGAAAGGG